UUACUUUUAUAACAAUUCAACAGUUUUAUUAUUAUGGAAUAUCUUUUCAAAUAUCUACGACGAUCCUUCGCAAGUAAUCAGAUAAGCGACACCCGAGUAUAGGUUACGCGGCCCGACCAGAAACUUUGUUGACACCCGAUACGGUUGUCGUGGCAGUCAACGUGUUAAUAUGAAAUUAACUAGAAUUUUUAUAUUUGGUUUAUUAUGGAGAGCAUUUUUCAGCCGAGGUAUCUCGUACAUCAUACAGUUUCAAUAAUGUUGAGGUUAUUAGAUGUACACCCCAAAGCCAUCGUCGCCUGAUUAAUGUCUAUGGUGUGCCUGUUAUUAAAUAUAGGUUUAGGGUUGAUAUUUAAUAAAUUCACACAGAUUUAAUUUUGCUUUCUAUAUUUCACCACCUCGUACAAAACGUCUGAACACACCGGAUACACUGAGAUAAUUAACACGUGGUCGACUCCUAAGACAAAAGAGCGUCGUUAACAGAGUCGUACCAACUUAACUUGUAAGAACUAGCUGUCAUACCAACUUAACGUUUCUCGACGCUGCCUUCGUCCCAGUUUAUUGUUUAUAUGCUGUCGAUGGCUUCAGUGCUUGAGAAAACUAAAAUGAGAGUUUUCUUAGAAGCGGUGAUCACUUCAAUAAAUAAUAUUAGUUUAGUUAUGCAAAAGUUAUCAAGAUCUAAGAUUAUGUUCUUUCGAUUGAACGGUUCAUCUUUUAUUGUUUAUAUUGGCUUGGCAACUAAGUGAUUGCGGAUUUUACCAUUAGCUGGUAAUGACAAAUACUAACUAACCAGAUAGUAUUAGUCUCUGCCCUUUCAAUUCCAACAAAUUCACAAUUUCUGCUACUGAGAAUGAUGUUGAGAAUUCAAGAAGGAUUUUUAUAAAUUUGUUUGAUUCGAAUGAGCAUAGAAUGAUAUUACUAAGAGAAAUGGAGUAUUUCAGAGGAUAAAGCGUAUAUAAAAAUUCCAAUUAAUUCCACUGUCUUGAAAGCAGGAUCUCGGUGUAAGUCUCGAACAGGAAAUGGCAAUUUCUGCCGGGCUACUAUCGCGAGGCAUCGCCCUAACUUUUGCUCCUUCGUACAUUGCCGGUUUCAGCGGACGAAUUCCGCAUUCCGGAAAUCGCGGAACGUUAUUCCAGGUCCCACGCGGGUCGUGCAAGCCCCCCGGAGCGACAUAACCCGGUGGACGUCCCCGGAGCCAGCGAAUCUCUUCUCGGCUAAGUCGCCGGGCAAAGUUAUGAAUUCUUUCGAAAAUCUUGCCGGUGAUCCUUCGAAGUUGAGCGGUCGGCGGGGAUCAAAGAAGUUGGUAUGGCUCGGCCGGGGGGUGGAAAGGGGUGGAUCAAGUUGCCUUAGAAUGAAGCCUCGGGAAGAAGUCGAGGACGACGACGACAACGACGAGAAAGGCGAAGAAGAAGAAGAAGAAAGUGGAGGAGGAUAAGAGAAGAGGGUUUUCGGUGAGAAGAAUCCACCAGAGGGUAAAGGGGGUCGCAAAGGGGGGAAGGUAGUAGGAGUAUAAGAUCGACAGAAGGGGCUGAGAGAAUCGUGAAGCUUGAGACGACUAGGAGGGUGGUGGAAAGGGGAGCAGCGAGCAAGCAACGUGGAAUACAAAGCAGCGACCGAAUGAUAGGAAGAGGAGGCUGAAGGAGUUUCGAAGGCUAAGCGGCCGGAGGGGUGAGACGUUGGGAGAAGACGGGUUCGAGAAAGAAGAGACCCCCUGCCGUCUAUUCAAACCGCGCCCGGUUGAACGCUCGUUCACGCUCCGCUCUUUCCCCCUGUUCUUCCAGCCACUUUUUGGAAUCGGCUUUGAUCGCCACUCUAGUUUCGGAUUAUAAACGAGCACGGCACAUGUUUCCAGAGGUAAACCAGAAAAAUGACUGUCCACCACGCGCCUCUGUCGGUUUAUCGCAGCACCAGCAUUCCACUUGGCGUCGCGUACGCGGCUACGUACGUGAAAGAAUGUCAUGGCAUUUUUAACGGGCCAGUGGCGGAGCACGAAACACGCACGAAGACGUACGUAAUUUUCGUAUCCAAACGCGUUAACGAUCCAAUAGACCAAUAGAACGAAUCGGUAGGGUGGAACGUCCCUCGAACGUCGUUUGAAUCAGAAGAAAUUCCUCGUUGAUGGAACAAACGACAGAGGGAACCUUCCAGACAUCAGCAAACGGUUCCUCGAAUUCCUAUAAUCCCGCGCAAGCCCUACGCUUCACUAACUCCUAAUAUCAAUGAUCGCGAGGGGAGAGUCCCCGUGGAAGAUUCCUCGAUCAUUGAUAUCACUCGAAGAAACGGCUUGGGUGUAUCGUGUUUGUCCCAUGUUUGGACACGAAGCUUGGACGAGAGAGGCUUGGUCAGGGUGGUAGAGAAACACGGGAGAGAAGGUCGAGUCGAGGACGAGGGGAUGAACGGAGACGGGAACCACGAGGGAAUAUAACGGAGAGGCUGUUGGGGAGAGAGAGAAAGGAGACAGGCCGAAGGAGAGAAGAGAGGAAUGAAGCCCGCCAUAUCAGUCUUGCUUGCGCCGACAGUUCGUCAUUUGUCACUGUCGCGGCCAUUAAUAACUCCGCCAUCCUGUCACUGUGGAUAAUACGAGUAGGUCUCUGCGCUCGGGCUGUUGUAGCUCCGGUAGGGGUGGUGUUCCGUUCAAUUCAGUUCGGUUUAAGGGGUCGCUACAACGGAUUGGAAGAGCAUGCCUUUCAGGGGAUGUGUCAUUCGUCGCUCGGGGAUAUGGCGUGCGAUCUUGUCGUCCAUCUUGGGAUAUGUUCGCUUUUUUCACCAGUUUCUAACGUAUUUUUUAUGUAUCUGUGGGAUUGAGAAUAGGUUAAAAUAUGUACAGGUUUUAGGUUUUACAUGGAUUUUGCAACAGUGCACCUUCGUACAGACGUGUUUGUCCCAACAGAACAAAAUCGAUCGUACGUAAUUCGACAAAGUAAACUUGUUGAGAAUUUUGGAUCUUAAUAGCUGAAAUAAUGGUAUAGCGAUACUAAAUUUACAUUUAGAAUUCAUAUUAGAAUAGUUAUAUACUUAUUUGAUAAGCGAUUCCAAAGAUAUUUAUCGAUACACACUUGCACGCGUCUCAGCAAUUUCUUUCAUAGCCGACUGUUAACCGACUGUACAGUUUACAUUCCUUUGUUUUUGAGACGCCGCGCACGCAUAUACUUCCACACACUGAUAUUCACAUACAAGUAACACUACUACGCAGCUAACCUAGUCUAGCACAUAAAAUUAUACAUAUCUCAAUAAAACCAAAAAACGUGCGUCUAUUGUUUCCUCAUAAAACUAAAGAAACUUUCCGGACAACCUAAUAGUAUGUUAUACGUGUAAUUGUAAAAUAAUGCUUGUUAAUGAUAUAAUAAAUCACGUAAUAUCGGAAUAAGAAACGUAAUGUAAUUUUUUGAAUAAAGAAUAUUUCAAAAUAGUAA